CCACAGACACUUCUCAAUUAAAACCGAAUGCCGGGUGGUCGUCGUUCGUAUGUCGACCACGAGGCGGCGGCCAUUUUGUCCAUGCGAACGACCAGCGGUGUUCGACGAUUGUUUCAUGGAUCUGAAAACGGACACUUUUUCAGCCGAACACCGCUGAAGCCGUCGACCUCCCCUUCUCAAUCGACAAAAGCAUACGAAUGACAGCCGUUC